GAUGCAACGCUCUUCGGUCAGCGUUAAGCAGACCAAACCGCGACCAUGAGUCACCAUGAAAUUGAUCGCCUCGGGGGUCACAAACUCGGCGGCCAUUA
rnacentral:antisense_RNA from 1 species